GUGGGGAAUAUUGGACAAUGGGCGCAAGCCUGAUCCAGCAAUGCCGCGUGGGUGAAGAAGGUCUUCGGAUCGUAAAGCCCUUUCGACAGGGACGAUGAUGACGGUACCUGUAGAAGAAGCCCCGGCUAACUUCGUGCCAGCAGCCGCGGUAAUACGAAGGGGGCUAGCGAUACUCGGAAUUACUGGGCGUAAAGGGCGCGUAGGCGGCUCUGUUAGUCAGGCGUGAAAUUCCUGGGCUUAACCUGGGGACUGCGCUUGAUACUGCAGGGCUUGAGGCCGAGAGAGGGUGGUGGAAUUCCCAGUGUAGAGGUGAAAUUCGUAGAUAUUGGGAAGAACACCGGUGGCGAAGGCGACCACCUGGCUCGGUUCUGACGCUGAGGCGCGACAGCGUGGGGAGCAAACAGGAUUAGAAACCCCUGUAGUCC
rnacentral:rRNA from 1 species